rnacentral:tRNA from 1 species
GGUCCCUUAGCUCAGUUGGUCAGAGCAGCGGACUCAUAAUCCGUGGGUCGCAGGUUCAAGCCCUGCAGGGACCA